rnacentral:rRNA from 1 species
UUGCUGGAACGCGCCCCAGGCGCACCCAGAAACCCUUUGUGAACUUAUACCUUUUGUUGCCUCGGCGCAUGCUGGUCUCUAGUAGGCCCCUCACCCCGGUGAGGAGACGGCACGCCGGCGGCCAAGUUAACUCUGUUUUUACACUGAAACUCUGAGAAAAAACACAAAUGAAUCAAAACUUUCAACAACGGAUCUCUUGGUUCUGGCAUCGAUGAAGAACGCAGCGAAAUGCGAUAAGUAAUGUGAAUUGCAGAAUUCAGUGAAUCAUCGAAUCUUUGAACGCACAUUGCGCCCUCUGGUAUUCCGGAGGGCAUGCCUGUUCGAGCGUCAUUUCAACCCUCAAGCAUUGCUUGGUGUUGGGGCACUGCUUUUAACGAAGCAGGCCCUGAAAUCUAGUGGCGAGCUCGCCAGGACCCCGAGCGUAGUAGUUAAACCCUCGCUUUGGAAGGCCCUGGCGGUGCCCUGCCGUUAAACCCCCAACUUUUGAAAAUUUGACCUCGGAUCAGGUAGGAAUA